rnacentral:tRNA from 1 species
GGAGAGUUGCCGGAGUGGUUGAACGGGACGGUCUCGAAAAUCGUUGUACACUUUUGUGUACCCAGGGUUCGAAUCCCUGACUCUCCGCCA